rnacentral:rRNA from 1 species
GAUGAACGCUGGCGGCGUGCCUAAUACAUGCAAGUCGAGCGAACAGACGAGGAGCUUGCUCCUCUGACGUUAGCGGCGGACGGGUGAGUAACACGUGGAUAACCUACCUAUAAGACUGGGAUAACUUCGGGAAACCGGAGCUAAUACCAGAUAAUAUAUUGAACCGCAUGGUUCAAUAGUGAAAGACGGUUUUGCUGUCACUUAUAGAUGGAUCCGCGCCGCAUUAGCUAGUUGGCAAGGUAACGGCUUACCAAGGCAACGAUGCGUAGCCGACCUGAGAGGGUGAUCGGCCACACUGGAACUGAGACACGGUCCAGACUCCUACGGGAGGCAGCAGUAGGGAAUCUUCCGCAAUGGGCGAAAGCUUGACGGGGCAACGCCGCGUGAGUGAUGAAGGUCUUCGGAUCGUAAAACUCUGUUAUUAGGGAAGAACAAAUGUGUAAGUAACUAUGCACGUCUUGACGGUACCUAAUCAGAAAGCCACGGCUAACUACGUG